rnacentral:rRNA from 1 species
AACGAACGCUGGCGGCAUGCCUAACACAUGCAAGUCGAGCGCGCGUAGCAAUACGGGAGCGGCGCACGGGUGAGUAACGCGUGGGAACCUGCCCAGAGGUUCGGGACAACCGCGGGAAACUGCGGCUGAUACCGGAUGAUACCUGAGGGUCAAAGAUUUAUCGCCUUUGGAGGGGCCCGCGUCAGAUUAGGUAGUUGGUGAGGUAACGGCUCACCAAGCCUGUGAUCUGUAACUGGUCUGAGAGGAUGACCAGUCACACUGGGACUGAGACACGGCCCAGACUCCUACGGGAGGCAGCAGUGGGGAGUAUUGGACAAGGGGGGCAACCCUGAUCCAGCAAUGCCGCGUGGGUGAUGAAGGCCUUCGGGUUGUAAAGCCCUUUCGGCGGGGACGAUGAUGACGGUACCCGCAGAAGAAGCCCCGGCUAACUUCGUGCCAGCAGCCGCGGUAA